rnacentral:rRNA from 1 species
UACGUAGGUCCCGAGCGUUGUCCGGAUUUAUUGGGCGUAAAGCGAGCGCAGGUGGUUUAUUAAGUCUGGUGUAAAAGGCAGUGGCUCAACCAUUGUAUGCAUUGGAAACUGGUAGACUUGAGUGCAGGAGAGGAAAGUGGAAUUCCAUGUGUAGCGGUGAAAUGCGUAGAUAUAUGGAGGAACACCGAUGGCGAAAGCGGCUCUCUGGCCUGUAACUGACACUGAGGCUCGAAAGCGUGGGGAGCAAACAGG